rnacentral:lncRNA from 1 species
GGGUGAUUGGCGUGUGCAAAAUAAAUGUCCUCUGUGACAAAUAACAAGACCAGGGUCAUUGAACCAAAGAGUACAUGAAGGAGAGUAAUGAUUAAUAAGCCCAGAAAAAUAAGUUGGAGCCAGGUUGCUAUGAGAUUUAAAUUCCAAAAAGAGGAGCAUAUGUUUUAGCCCCAAAGUAAUAGAGAGUUUCUGGCAUUUAUUGAUUUAGGGACUGACAUGGAUCUGGGAUCUGGGAAAAUUACCUUGUUAGAAGUACGGAAAAUGACAAGAGACUUGGUUCUGGGAGAACAACGAGGAUAUUACUUACCGCAAUAGCCCAGGCCAAAGAAACCACUUUCAAAGGGAUCGACUGAUUCUGACCAUAGCUGAAGCAUUACUAAAUGGUUACAGAAAACAUCUUGGAUUUCUUUCUAUGUGAUGCUGAUUUUCUGACUGGACACAUUCCCAGCCAUGAAACAAGGUCGACAAAACAGCUGCAAUGAUGGGAAGGAAAAAGGGAGGCAAAGGGGGUGGGGGGGUGGCUAAUGGAGA